UUUUUUAGCCAUACUACUUUGUGACUAACUCCAUUUAGAUCUCAGAGGCUAAGCUGGAUAAGACUAGGUCAAUACUUGGAUGGGAGACCUCCCAAGAACAUGAUGCAAUAC
rnacentral:rRNA from 1 species